GGGGCUUUGGUGUAGUGGUGACAUAGCAGUCGGAUGGGCUGCAGAGGACAGUUCUAAUCUGUCAGGCUCCA